CAUUAAAGAGUUCUAUAACUCCCAAACCCAUGUGAACAUACCUAACGUUGCCUCGGCAGGUCGCACCUACCUUGUAGCACCCUACCCUGUAGGGCCUACCCGGGAGGUGCGGGUAAGCCUGCCGGCGGCCCACCAAACUCUGUUUGAUAUUGAAUUCUGAACCUAUAACUAAAUAAGUUAAAACUUUCAACAACGGAUCUCUUGGUUCUGGCAUCGAUGAAGAACGCAGCGAAAUGCGAUAAGUAAUGUGAAUUGCAGAAUUCAGUGAAUCAUCGAAUCUUUGAACGCAUAUUGCGCCCAUUAGUAUUCUAGUGGGCAGGACCGUUCGAGCGUCAUUUCAACCCUUAAGCCUUCGUUGCUUAGUGUUGGGAGCCUACGGCAACGUAGCUCCUCAAAGUUAGUGGCGGAGUUGGUUCACACUCUAGACGUAGUAAUUUUUUAUCUCGCCUAUUAGUUGGACUAAUCCCCUGCCGUAAAACCCCCAAUUUAUCAAGGUUGACCUCGAAUCGGUUCAGACAAACUCGCUAAAUUGAAGCAUCUUAGUCAGCGAAGGAAAAGAAACCAACAGGGAUUGCCCUAGUAACGGCGAGUGAAGCGGCAACAGCUCAAAUUUGAAAUCU
rnacentral:rRNA from 1 species